AGUCAUUCUCGGCCACUAGCAAGGCCAGCUCAGUUGCAUUCGAUCAGUAGCAUCUUUGAGCCCAUUAUAGUGCCUCUUGGCUAGAUAGUAUUUUAUUAUACCAACUUGCAUGCAUGAUUAAAAUAUCAGCAUAAUCAUGGUGCAUACAUGGCCAUAGUUUAUGAGAUCAUGCAAGUUACUUAUCCAUCAUAACAUAUCAUGCAUGAAUAACACUUUAAAAACUUAACAAACAUAGUAACAUGAUCCACAAUAAGAUUAAAAUAGAUUACUUACUUUCUUCACAAAUCAUGUAUACAAUUCAA
rnacentral:lncRNA from 1 species